rnacentral:lncRNA from 1 species
GGGGAGGAGAAGGGAGGAGAGGGGAGGAGAGAAAACAUCUUUUUGCAUCCUUGCACUUCAGCUCCGCCCAUUUUAUCACCCUGGACCUCUUCCCAGCAUUGUGACCGCUCCAGCUGUACCACACAGCCACUCAAAGCCCUACUGAAGAACACAGGGGCCAUACAGUCAGCAGCAGCCCUGGAUUCCUCAUUACACAAAGUUAUUUCCCGUAUGAUAUUUGCCACAGACGAUAAAACUAAAUAAAUGGGUCACAAGCAUGCCAUAUGUUUUGUACAAAUAAUGAUGACUUCAAGAGCUUACCAGAGCUGGUUUUCUUACUGAAGAAUGGUAGAUCGCCAGAGCAAUAAAAUGAGGCAAUGUUGAAGGUACUUUACA